ACUUUAAGGUAGGUAUUGCAACAUGAAUACAUAGUGUUGCAAGGCGAACGAGGGGAAGUGAAACAUCUCAGUACCCUUAGGAAAAGAAAUCAAUUGAGAUUCCCUCAGUAGCGGCGAGCGAACGGGGAUCAGCCCAUUAAGUUAUGUGUGUUUUAGUGGAACGCUCUGGGAAGUGCGAACGUAGAGGGUGAUAUUCCCGUACACGAAAGGGCACACAUAAUGAUGACGAGUAGGGCGAGGCACGUGAAACCUUGUCUGAAUAUGGGGGGACCAUCCUCCAAGGCUAAAUACUCCUGACUGACCGAUAGUGAACCAGUACCGUGAGGGAAAGGCGAAAAGAACCCCUGUGAGGGGAGUGAAAUAGAUCCUGAAACCGCAUGCAUACAAGCAGUGGGAGCACCUUCGUGGUGUGACUGCGUACCUUUUGUAUAAUGGGUCAGCGACUUAUAUUCAGUAGCGAGGUUAACCGUAUAGGGGAGCCGUAGGGAAAUCGAGUCUUAAUAGGGCGUUUAGUUGCUGGGUAUAGACCCGAAACCAGGCGAU
rnacentral:rRNA from 1 species